UACGAAGGGUGCAAGCGUUACUCGGAAUUACUGGGCUUAAAGGGUGCGUAGGCGGCGCGGCAAGUUGGGUGUGAAAUCCCUCGGCUCAACCGAGGAACUGCGCCCAAAACUACCGUGCUCGAGGAAGAUAGAGGUGAGCGGAACUUACGGUGGAGCGGUGAAAUGCGUUGAUAUCGUAAGGAACACCCGUGGCGAAAGCGGCUCACUGGGUCGUCUCUGACGCUGAUGCACGAAAGCGAGGGGAGCAAACGGG
rnacentral:rRNA from 1 species